rnacentral:rRNA from 1 species
UAUCAAUAAGCGGAGGAAAAGAAACCAACAGGGAUUACCUCAGUAACGGCGAAGUGAAGCGGUAACAGCUCAAAUUUGAAAUCUGGUCCCCUCUGGGGGCCCGAGUUGUAAUUUGAAGAGGAUGCUUUUGGCGAGGCGCCUUCCGAGUGCCCUGGAACGGGACGCCACAGAGGGUGAGAGCCCCGUAUGGUAGGACGCCGAGCCUCUGUAAAGCUCCUUCGACGAGUCGAGUAGUUUGGGAAUGCUGCUCAAAAUGGGAGGUAAACCCCUUCUAAAGCUAAAUAUUGGCCAGAGACCGAUAGCGCACAAGUAGAGUGAUCGAAAGAUGAAAAGCACUUUGAAAAGAGAGUUAAACAGCACGUGAAAUUGUUGAAAGGGAAGCGCUUGCGACCAGACUUGCGCCCGUCGGAUCAACCGUCCCUCGUGGGCGGCGCACUCCGGCGGGCUCAGGCCAGCAUCAGUUUUCCUGGGGGGAGAAAGGCGGUGGGAAUGUAGCUCUUCGGAGUGUUAUAGCCCGCCGCGUAAUACCCCCGGGGGGACUGAGGACCGCGCGAAAGCAAGGAUGCUGGCGUAAUGGUCGUCAGCGACCCGUCUUGAAACACGGACCAAGGAGUCGUCCUAAUAUGCGAGUGUACGGGUGUAAAACCCCUGCGCGUAAUGAAAGUGAACGGAGGUGAGAGCUUCGGCGCAUCAUCGACCGAUCCUGAUGUUCUCGGAUGGAUUUGAGUAAGAGCAUAUUGGGCCGGACCCGAAAGAAGGUGAACUAUGCCUGUAUAGGGUGAAGCCAGAGGAAACUCUGGUGGAGGCUCGCAGCGGUUUCUGACGUGCAAAUCGAUCGUCAAAUAAUGGGCAUGGGGGCGAAAGACUAAUCGAACCUUCUAGUAGCUGGUUUCCGC